AAAAGCCCUUUCUGCUAGGUCACUGAAGGAUUACAUGACUGGGACUGUUAUGCCUAAUGCCUGUCACCUAGGACCAUGGAUACUUUUCUUUGUUGAAAAUGGAAACCUUACUAUCCUUUUGGUGAAGAAAAUUCUGUCGUUUGUCAGUGUUCAAGAUGCUGAUUCAGUUGCUGUCUCUGAAUGCCUCCUUCACUCCAGAACACCCUUGCAAGGGAGGGAUGGCCGGACAGCCUGCCCCCUACCUCCAGCUGAUGGAGUGAGAUGCUUGUAAUAUGGUUUAGAGUGUGCUCAUUGGCAGCCAACCUUGACCACACUGUGAAACAGAGUGCAAUACAAUGUGAUCUCCGUUCCAUAACUGCAGGCAGAGAACAACAGAAAAAGUUGAAAACAAAUUCUGAAACGGAGUACUUCAGCUGAAAUGUGGUUUGGAUGCUCAUCACAGAUAAUUGGGAAAACAUAUUCAUAUCAAGUGAAAAACUCCAAUAGAGUUAAAAGGAAACAGUUGGACUACCCUUUUUCCUUCAUGCAACUAUCUUUACUCAUUCUUUAAGUUUUUUGUUGUUUUUGUU
ensembl:lncRNA